GACGAACGCUGGCGGCGUGCUUAACACAUGCAAGUCGAACGAAGAGCGAUGGGAGCUUGCUUCUAUCACUCUUAGUGGCGCACGUGUGAGUAACGCGUAAUCAACCUGCCCUUCAGAGGGGGACAACAGUGGGAAACGACUGCUAAUACCGCAUACGAUCUAAUCUCGGCAUCGAGGAUAGAUGAAAGGUGGCCUCUACAUGUAAGCUCUCACUGAAGGAGGAGAUUGCGUCUGAUUAGCUAGGUGGUUGGCUAAGGGACCACCCAGGGGAGGAUCAGUAGGCGGACCGAGAGGAUGGACGGCCCACAUGGGAAUGAGACAAGGCCCAGAACCCUAAGGGAGGGAGCCGUGGGGAAACUUCCGGAAUGGAGGAAAGUCUGAAGGGGGAAAGCCGCGUGAGGGAUGACGGCCUUCGGGUUGUAAAGAUCCGUUAAUCGGGAAGAAAGGCCUUCUUGAGAAUAGUGAGAAGGAUUGACGGUACCGGAAUAGAAAGCCACGGCUAACUACGUG
rnacentral:rRNA from 1 species